UCAAGCUAAUAAGAGCACAGGGUGGAUGCCCAGGCACCAAACGCCGACGAAAGACGUGGCAAGCUGCGAAAAGUCACGGGGAACCGCAAGCAGGUAUUGAUCCGUGAACGUCUGAAUGGGGAAACCCGGCGGGUUAACAGCCCGUCACUAUUAACUGAAUCAAUAGGUUAAUAGGGGGAACGCGGGGAACUGAAACAUCUCAGUACCCGUAGGAAGAGAAAAUAAAGAAUGAUUUCCUAAGUAGCGGCGAGCGAACGGGAAAGAGGCCAAACCGAAGGGCUUGCUCUUCGGGGUUGUGGAUCAGCAAAAAGGACGGAAGACCUUAGCAGAAGAGGAUUGGAAAGUCCCGCCAGAGAGGGUAAAAGCCCCUUACGCGAAAAGGUCAAACGACGAGCUGACACCAGAGUACCGCAGGACACGAGAAAUCCGGUGGGAAGCCGGGAGGACCACCUCCCAAGCCUAAAUACGAAUUGGUGACCGAUAGCGCAUAGUACCGUGAGGGAAAGGUGAAAAGAACCCCGGGAGGGGAGUGAAAAAGAACCUGAAACCCUGUGUUUACAAGCAGUGAAAGUGCAAGUUAGGCACGAUCACGUACUUUUUGUAGAACGGACCGGCGAGUUACGUUAUGCAGCAAGGUUAAGAACUGAAGGUUCGGAGCCGAAGCGAAAGCGAGUCUGAAUAGGGCGAUAGUUGCAUGACGUAGACCCGAAACCGGGUGACCUAUCCAUGAGCAGGUUGAAGUGGAGGUAAAGCUCCAUGGAGGACCGAACCAGACGUCUGUUGAAAAAGGCGGGGAUGACUUGUGGAUAGGGGAGAAAUUCCAAUCGAACCCGGAGAUAGCUGGUUCUCCUCGAAAUAGCUUUAGGGCUAGCCUCAUGGAUCAUUGAUGGGGGUAGAGCACUGAAUGUGCGCGGGGGCCACAAAGCCUACCAAACGCUAUCAAACUUCGAAUACCAUACAAUGCAGACCAUGGGAGUCAGUCCGCGAGAGAUAAGUUCCGCGGGCAAAAGGGGAACACCCCAGAUCAACCGCUAAGGUCCCCAAGUUCACGUUAAGUGGAGAAGGAUGUGGAAUUGCACAGACAACCAGGAUGUUGGCUCAGAAGCAGCCACACAUUUAAAGAGUGCGUAAUAGCUCACUGGUCGAGUGAUUGUGCGCCGAAGAUGUCCGGGGCUAAACGUGACACCGAAGCGAUGGGUGCAUCUGAAAGGAUGCGCGGUAGAGGAGCAAUGUGCAGAGGCAGAAGCCGUAUCGAGAGGCACGGUGGACACUGCACAAGAGAGAAUGCCGGUAUGAGUAGCGAGAGGCAUGCGAGAAACAUGCCCGUCGAAAGCCCAAGGUUUCCUGGGGAAGGUUCAUCCGCCCAGGGUAAGUCGGGGCCUAAGCCGAGGACGGAAGUCGUAGGCGAUGGACAGCAGGUGUAGAUUCCUGCACUACCGAUGGAAUGAAGCAGUGACACAGAAGGAUAACUCGAGCAGGGUGAUGGUCAACCCUGUGCAAGCAUCAAGGUUGGGUUGUAGUGAAGUACGCAAUCCUACAAGCUGAGGUGUGAUGCGGACCGAAAUUUUAGUAGGGAAGCGAGUGAGUUCACGCUGGCGAGAAAAGCUGCUAGUAUAUCCAAAGGUACCCGUACCGGAAACCGACGCAGGUGGGCGAGGAGAGAAUCCUGAGACGAACGGGAGAACCCUUGUUAAGGAACUCGGCAAAAUGACCCCGUAACUUCGGGAUAAGGGGUGCCUGCGAGAGCAGGCCGCAGAGAAUAGUCACAAGCGACUGUUUAGCAAAAACACAGGUAUCUGCGAAAGCGAGAGCUGACGUAUAGGUGCUGACACCUGCCCGGUGCUGGAAGGUUAAGGGAACAUGUUAGAGCAAUCGAAGCAUCGAACCGAAGCCCCAGUAAACGGCGGCCGUAACUAUAACGGUCCUAAGGUAGCGAAAUUCCUUGUCGGGUAAGUUCCGACCCGC
rnacentral:rRNA from 1 species